GACAAGUCCAAAUGCAAGAUUGUAUGGGAUAGUAAUGGCGUUUCUGGGUUUGAUAAGUCAGAUCUUGAGCUUGAAGUGUUCUUGGUUCAACAUGAUAUGGAGAAUAUGUAUAUGUGGGUUUUUAAGGAAAGGCCUGAGAAUGCAUUGGGUAAGAUGCAGUUACGUAGUUAUAUGAAUGGGCACUCUCGCCAAGGAGAGCGUCCGUUUCCUUUCAGUGUUGAAAAGGGAUUUGUUCGAUCUCACAGAAUGCAAAGGAAGCAUUAUAGGGGCCUUUCAAAUCCUCAAUGUGUGCAUGGGAUUGAGGUUGUCUCAUCACCCAAUUUUGAGGGUCUUGAUGAGGAAGAGCAAAAGAGAUGGAUGGAACUUACAGGGAGGGAUUUGAACUUUUCUGUCCCCCCAGAAGCAGCCAGUGAAUUUUGUUCAUGGAGGAACCUUCCUAACACAGAAUUUGAGCUGGAGAGACCCCUUCCUCCAUUAAAGACUACUCUGCAUCCUCAUUCAAAGAAAUUGCUUAAUGGUUCUGGCUUGAAUUUAUCAACUCGACCAUCAAACCAUACAGAUGGUAAUGGAAUGGAUCUCUCACCUGUUUGCAACAAGAGGAAGAAGGAUUUAUUCCUGCAUGGAAAUGAUGAAGACUGUUGUUUGCUUAUGAAUCAGCAUAAUGAGAGAAUUCAAGAUACGGAAAUGCACCCAAUUGAACUACCCUGGCUAAAUGAUUUUAGUGGGGUAAUGAGGAAUGUGUAUGGACCUGUCACAGGUGCAAAAACGAUUUAUGAGGAUGAACAAGGUUAUCUAAUAAUUGUCAGCUUGCCUUUUGCUGAUCUUAAAAGGGUGAAAGUUACUUGGUGGAAUAAUUUGACACAUGGUGUUGUGAAGAUCUCAUCUGUGAGCACAGCCUGCAUGCCCUUCAUCAAGAGAAAUGAUAGGACAUUCAAGCUCACUGAUCCUUCUCCCGAGCACUGUCCAUCAGGGGAAUUCAUUAGGGAAAUCCCUUUACCAACCCGGAUUCCAGAUGAUGCUAAGCUAGAAGCACAUGGGGAUGAAACAGGAACAGGUCUUGAGAUCAUAGUGCCAAAACAUCGUGUGGGACCAGAAGAACACGAGGUUCCUGUUUGCCUCCGCCCCCAUCUUGCAGUGAGUGAACUUUUGUUGUCUUGAGCAAGGUAUUGGCUGAAGCAGUG
rnacentral:misc_RNA from 1 species